rnacentral:rRNA from 1 species
GAUGAACGCUAGCGGCAGGCCUAACACAUGCAAGUCGAGGGAGAAGCCCUUUCGGGGGCAGAAACCGGCGCACGGGUGCGUAACGCGUAUGCAACCUACCUUUCACAGGGGGAUAGCCCGAAGAAAUUUGGAUUAAUACCCCAUAAUAUUAUUGGAUGGCAUCAUUUGAUAAUUAAAACUGCGGUGGUGAAAGAUGGGCAUGCGUCCUAUUAGCUAGUUGGAGUGGUAACGGCACCCCAAGGCUACGAUAGGUAGGGGUCCUGAGAGGGAGAUCCCCCACACUGGUACUGAGACAGGGACCAGACUCCUACGGGAGGCAGCAGUGAGGAAUAUUGGGCAAUGGUCGGAAGACUGAACCAGCCAUGCCGCGUGCAGGAAGAAUGCCUUAUGGGUUGUAAACUGCUUUUAUAUGGGAAGAAUAAGGCGUACGUGUACGUUGAUGACGGUACCAGAUGAAUAAGCAUCGGCUAACUCCGUG